ACUCCUACGGGAGGCAGCAGUGGGGAAUAUUGCACAAUGGGCGCAAGCCUGAUGCAGCCAUGCCGCGUGUGUGAAGAAGGCCUUCGGGUUGUAAAGCACUUUCAGUCGUGAGGAAGGUGAGUGUAGUUAAUAGCUGCUAUAUUUGACGUUAGCGAACAGAGAAGCGACGCUAACUCCGUGCCAGCAGCCGCGGUAAUACGGAGGGUGCAAGCGUUAUCCGGAUUUA
rnacentral:rRNA from 1 species